rnacentral:rRNA from 1 species
UUAAUCGCUUUUAGAUAUGCCUAUAUAGGAUUAGGUAGUUGGUGUAGGUAAAAGCUCACCAAGCCGAAGAUCCUUAGCUGGUCAUAUAUGAUGUACAGCCACACUGGGACUGAGACACGGCCCAGACUCUUUUUAGAGGCAGCAGUGAGGAAUAUUGGACAAUGAGCGAAAGCUUGAUCCAGCAAUACUGCGUGAAUGAUGAAGGCUCACUGGUCGUAAAGUUCUUUUAACAGUAAAGAUAAUGACUUAAUUGUAGAAAAAGUCCCGGCUAAUCUCGUGCCAGCAGCCGCGGUAAUACGAGAGGGGCAAGUGUUAUUCGGAAUGACUAGGCGUAAAGCGCACAUAGACUGUUUUUUAAGUUGAAAUUUAAAGUAGGGAGCUUAACUUCUAAACUGGUUUCAAUACUAAUAAACUAGAGUAAGUAUAGAGGAUAGUGGAAUUUUUAAUAAAGAGUUGAAAUUCGUCGACAUUAGAAGGAAGGCCAAUGGCGAAGGCAACUAUCUAGUUCUUAACUGACGUUGUUGUGCGAAAGCAUGGGUAGCAAACAGGAUUAGAUACCCUGGUAGUCCAUGCUGUCAACGAUGAGUGUUAAAUAUUGGANUUUUUUCAGUGUUACAGCUAACGCAUUAAACACUCCGCCUGGGGAAUACGGCCGCAAGGUUAAAACUCAAAGGAAUUGACGGGGAUCUGCACAAGCGGUGGAGCAUGUGGUUUAAUUCGAUAAUACGCGCAGAACCUUACCAGUCCUUGACUUAUUAAAAUUGCUAAUUUAAGUGAUUAUAUUAUGUAUAUUUUAAGACAGGUGUUGCAUGGCUGUCGUCAGCUCGUGUCGUGAGAUGUUUGGUUAAGUCCUUUUACGAGCGCAACCCCUUUUUAUAAUUAAUUUUCAGAUAUUGAAUAACUUUAUAAAUACUGCCAUUAAUAAAAUGGAGGAAGGGAGGGAUGACGUCAAGUCCUCAUGGCCCUUAUGGACUGGGCUACUCACGUGCUACAAUAAUAAUUACAAUGAGAAGCAAUAACGCAAGUUUGAGCAAAUCUUUAAAAAUUAUUUAAGUUCGGAUUAUUCUCUGCAACUCGAGAAUAUGAAGCUGGAAUCGCUAGUAAUCGUAGAUCAGCACGCUACGGUGAAUUUGUACACAGAUCUUGUACAUACCGCCCGUCACGCCCUGGGAAUUAGUUUUAUUUUAAACCUAUUCUGANAUUAUUAUAUGAAUUUAUUAUAAUAUUAUAUUUAUUUAUUAAUUAAUUUACAUUUUAACGUAAGAUUGGCGCCGGUAGAAUU